GCGGGAGUAGCUCAGGUGGUAGAGCGUCGGCCUUCCAAGCCGAAGGUCGCGGGUUCGAGUCCCGUUUCCCGCUCCA
rnacentral:tRNA from 1 species